rnacentral:rRNA from 1 species
GACGAACGCUGGCGGCGUGCCUAAUACAUGCAAGUCGAACGAGAGCAACCGGUGCUUGCACUGGUCAAUCUAGUGGCGAACGGGUGAGUAACACGUGGGUAACCUGCCCAUCAGAGGGGGAUAACAUCCGGAAACGGAUGCUAAAACCGCAUAGGUCUUCGAACCGCAUGGUUUGAAGAGGAAAAGAGGCGCAAGCUUCUGCUGAUGGAUGGACCCGCGGUGCAUUAGCUAGUUGGUGAGGUAACGGCUCACCAAGGCCGUGAUGCAUAGCCGACCUGAGAGGGUGAUCGGCCACAUUGGGACUGAGACACGGCCCAAACUCCUACGGGAGGCAGCAGUAGGGAAUCUUCCGCAAUGGACGCAAGUCUGACGGAGCAACACCGCGUGAGUGAAGAAGGUUUUCGGAUCGUAAAACUCUGUUGUUAGAGAAGAACAAGUGCUAGAGUAACUGUUAGCGCCUUGACGGUAUCUAACCAGAAAGCCACGGCUAACUACGUG